UACGAAGGGGGCUAGCGUUGCUCGGAAUCACUGGGCGUAAAGGGUGCGUAGGCGGGUCUUUAAGUCAGGGGUGAAAUCCUGGAGCUCAACUCCAGAACUGUCUUUGAUACUGAAGAUCUUGAGUUCGGGAGAGGUGAGUGGAACUGCAAGUGUAGAGGUGAAAUUCGUAGAUAUUCGCAAGAACACCAGUGGCGAAGGCGGCUCACUGGCCCGAUACUGACGCUGAGGCACGAAAGCGUGGGGAGCAAACAGG
rnacentral:rRNA from 1 species